CCUACGGGCGGCAGCAGUCGAGAAUCAUUCACAAUGGGGGAAACCCUGAUGGUGCGACGCCGCGUGGGGGAAUGAAGGUCUUCGGAUUGUAAACCCCUGUCAUGUGGGAGCAAAUUAAAAAGAUAGUACCACAAGAGGAAGAGACGGCUAACUCUGUGCCAGCAGCCGCGGUAAUACAGAGGUCUCAAGCGUUGUUCGGAAUCACUGGGCGUAAGGCGUGCGUAGGCUGUUUCGUAAGUCGUGUGUGAAAGGCGCGGGCUCAACCCGCGGACGGCACAUGAUACUGCGAGACUAGAGUAAUGGAGGGGGAAGCGGAAUUCUCGGUGUAGCAGUGAAAUGCGUAGAUAUCGAGAGGAACACUCGUGGCGAAGGCGGGUUCCUGGACAUUAACUGACGCUGAGGCACGAAGGCCAGGGGAGCGAAAGGGAUUAGAUACCCGUGUAGUC
rnacentral:rRNA from 1 species